CCUACGUGAGGCAGCAGUGAGGAAUAUUGGUCAAUGGGCGCGAGCCUGAACCAGCCAAGUAGCGUGAAGGAUGACUGCCCUACGGGUUGUAAACUUCUUUUAUAAAGGAAUAAAGUUAGGCACGUGUGCCUUUUUGUAUGUACUUUAUGAAUAAGGAUCGGCUAACUCCGUGCCAGCAGCCGCGGUAAUACGGAGGAUCCGAGCGUUAUCCGGAUUUAUUGGGUUUAAAGGGAGCGUAGAUGGGUUGUUAAGUCAGUUGUGAAAGUUUGCGGCUCAACCGUAAAAUUGCAAUUGAUACUGGCAGUCUUGAGUACAGUUGAGGUAGGCGGAAUUCGUGGUGUAGCGGUGAAAUGCUUAGAUAUCACGAAGAACUCCGAUUGCGAAGGCAGCUUACUAAACUGCCACUGACAUUGAUGCUCGAAAGUGUGGGUAUCAAACAGGAUUAGAUACCCCAGUAGUC
rnacentral:rRNA from 1 species